CCUACGGGUGGCAGCAGUAGGGAAUAUUGCUCAAUGGGGGAAACCCUGAAGCAGCAACGCCGCGUGGAGGAUGAAGGUUUUCGGAUUGUAAACUCCUUUUGUUAGAGAAGAUAAUGACGGUAUCUAACGAAUAAGCACCGGCUAACUCCGUGCCAGCAGCCGCGGUAAUACGGAGGGUGCAAGCGUUACACGGAAUCACUGGGCGUAAAGAGCGCGUAGGCGGGAUAGCAAGUCAGAUGUGAAAUCCUAUGGCUUAACCAUAGAACUGCAGUUGAAACUGUUAUUCUAGCGUAUGGGAGAGGUAGGUGGAAUUCUUGGUGUAGGGGUAAAAUGCGUAGAGAUCAAGAGGAAUACUCAUUGCGAAGGCGACCUGCUAGAACAUAACUGACGCUGAUGCGCGAAAGCGUGGGGAGCAAACAGGAUUAGAUACCCGAGUAGUC
rnacentral:rRNA from 1 species